rnacentral:lncRNA from 1 species
UCCUGAUUCCUCUUUGAAGUACAUAGUAGAUAGCGGUAGAAGGAAUAGUAAAGUCUUAAAGUCUUUGAUCUUUCUUAUAAGUGCAUAGAAGAAAAUGCUGAGGUAUGCUGCCUUCUCUCUCUCUGCUUCGGCUACCUAAAAGGGAAGGGCCCCCCGUCUUGUGAUCACGUGACUUGCUUCACCUUGUCAAUCACUUACAAGAUUCACCCUCCUUACCCUGUCCCCUUGUCUUGUAUUUAAUAAAUAUCAGCGCGCCCAGCCUUUUGGGGCCACUACCAGUCUCCGCAUCUUGAUGGUAGUGGUCCCUAGGGCCCAGCUGUUUUCUCUUUAUCUCUUCAUCUUGUGUCUUUAUUUAUUACAAUCUCUCCUCUCCGCACACGGGGAGAACACCCGCUAAGCCCCAUAGGGCUAGACCCUACAUCUGGUACUCCAAUGUGCCUUUCUCCCUCGCUGUGUGAAGUUGCGCUUUGAGCCGGGGACUCAGCGGAGGAAUUUCGACGACAGAUUCCUGAGGAUUGCGGUCAUUAAGCUUGGUGUGCAGUGCCUGCUAUGAAGCACACACAAUGCUUAUCUGCUGCUCCAUUGGAAAGCCAAUAGCAAAGAAGGGAAAGGACCUUCUGAUUGGAGAGUGGAGGAGCUUGAAUAAAUACCUGCCCUGCACUGAAGGGGAAAUGCAGAGGUUCAGCUUACCGACAAGUGGACAGGUGGCGAAACAGGUGGCUCUAAUCCAGCAGACUAUGGCACUAGAAGGACAGGCUGGCAGAUGCUCAAUGGGCACAAGUGUUCAGGCUGAAAGAUGUUGAGCAAGCAUUUGGAAUGGAGAUGGGGUAAGAAGUAGUUACUAUCUCCCAGAUUCUGGAUGGAGAACCUCGGUCCCAAGCAGAACUAGCAGCCUUCCUGACCAAGAGCUCAACCACUGAUGGACUGGAACAGGGUGGCUGAUUAUCCCCGACCACAGCAGAGAUUGUUUGCACAGUCUACAGCAAAGCUGAGCCUAUAGAUGAUUAAAUGCUCACAGCUUCAAAGAUUAGAGGGCUAAAGGCGGCAGGAGUAAUUCAAGGAACACCAAUCCUGCUCUUUCCUAUCUGUAUUUUAGCCUUCUUGUUUAAGCCUUCCAGAGCAUGAUUACUCUUCAGCAGACCAUGGUAAUAUGUGCUUGGGAAAAAACAAAAUUAAACUAGUGUUUCAGGAAUUCUUUCAUAAUGUAAUCUGAACCAGUCCUUAUUAAUGAGGCCAAAGUAUUUCCCAUCCAACUGAAGUCCUGCAAUUAUUUAAAUGUGUAAGUGAAACCAUUCUUUAUACCUUCAUUCACAGUCCAUUUAAGUCAGAAACUGAGUUUACUUGGUUUACUAACUGGGCAUUAGGCACCAUUUGAGCAGCUUAAGAACUAUCAACAAUUGCAAUGGUCCAUAAUAAAUAUAUAUACAAUUAUAUCUAUAUAGACUGUCCUUCAUAGUUAAAAAUGAUGUUGUUGAUUCAGGUACUAAUCACAUGAUUCACUGUAACCGCACAGAUAAAAUUUAGUGUAUAUAUGCUUGAGGAUUUGCCAUUUAAAGAGCAUUUACAUUGUCUCAUUUAUUACUCAACAUAACCCAGGUAAUUUGGUGUCGUUAUUAUUAUUACUACUAUUUUACCAUGAAGGAAACAAGAUUCAGAGAUACAUACUGAUAAUUGUGGGUUAUUUGAACUCAGAUAAUGUGAGACCAUAUAAUCAGGAAGCAGGAGACCAAAGCUCUUUACAUAUAAUGUAUAUAUGCGUACCAUAAAUAAGCAUGAUUAUUUCUUUCAUAAUUACUCUCCAAAAUUCUGUUAGCUAUCAUACUUGAGUAUCGGUCAUUUAUAUGAAAUACAACACCCAUUUUAAGAAUGGUCAUUUUAUGUCAUUAAAUCUACAUGUAGAUGAAUUAUUCUUUUAUCAGUUCUUUCAUUGGAGUAUUUAAGUUAUUUAUUUGAGGCAUUUAGUUAUUAUUUGUGAAUAUAAUAGAAUUUUGCAGCAAAGGAUAUAAAAAUAACAUUUUUCAAGUCUAAUGUGAUUCACAUUUUAUUUUAAAUUUAAUCAUAUGUUUAAUUUAAAAAUAUACUAUACAGUUCAUGUGUAUCAACAGUUUUCUUCAAGUCACAGUAUAUUAAAAGUAGGCAUUUUAAUUUAAGUGUAUUCUUAGAGGUUGAAAAAUAUUGGAAAACUUUAAUAAUGUAAUUUCAUACCUUGAUGCCUAGUAUUCAAAGCCUUGUAGAUUUUCACUGUUAUAAAAGAGAGCUCAUGAAAAUUAUUUGAUUAUGUCAUUUUGGACAGAGAAGAAGAAAGGUUUUUAUUGACUUCAUUCCUUUCAAAUCACUUUGCCUUGGAAAUAUUUCUGAAAGAUUGCUCAGAGUAAUUAAUAUGAGGGAAGAGUAGACUAUAGUACAGGAGAACUGACUAGAAAUUCCUAAUGUAGCCUCUCCCGAAAUCCCAGUAAAGAUCCAUAAAUGCCUAAAAAAGAUAAAAAGUCACAAAACUUUAAUAAAAAAAGUUAAGUAAGCUAUUGCCAAAAGUUGGGAGAAUAUUUUACUACCCACAAAAUCUAUGUAGUUGUAUGAAACAGCACAAUUUGCCAUUAUGCAUAUGGUGCUAAAACAAGGAUCCUAUAGGCCUGAUAAAAAAGAGAAAUAUAAUUUCUCCCUCUAUCAUUGCUUGUCUUGGAAGCAGAUAGCCCUGCCCUAAGAAAGCUUUGCUCCAUAGGUAUCUUAUUUCGACAUAAAUUAUUGUUUCUAAUUUUUCAUGUUUAAAUUUCCCCUACAAUUCAGAAAGUAAAUCCCCAGAAAACAAAAAGACAAGAAAUAGGGAGAUGCUGAUGGAAAUCUAUUUUAUCUUUGAGGUAUAACCACAAUAAAUUUAGCACUGUGGAUAGGAGCGGUGACAGGAGGAUGUUUGUUGGUGGGAAAUACUGAUAAUUGUAGGUUAUUUGAACUUAACUGGUUUCAUGUCAGUGAAUCAUGCAAUGAAUGCUGGAGACAAACCUAACUCAGUCCAGCAGAGACAUGCUUAAAAUCUGUUCUACAGGCAUAGAUUGAGAAUGGGAUUUUAGUGAUAUUUAAAUAUAAGUGGUAAUUAAGAAAGUUGUAUAUAUCAACUGUUAGAAAAAUACUGAGUAUGAUUCUAUCAUUUCCAAUUUCAGAACCCGCAAAAAAUGUUAGGCUACUAUUUGGUAUUGAAACAAUAGGCAGGAAUACGUGAUUUAUGUCAAUCAAGAGAACAGAGAGUCAUAUAAGAAUCAUACUGAGUUGUAAAGAAAGUAAGAUAAGGUAAAACAUGAGAUGAGUAACAUAAGAAAAGAUAAUCGGUAAACUAAAAUUAACAAUAGUUAAAUUAAAAUCUGGACUGUGGAUAUUAAAGCAGAAAACUGGCUUACUAUGUAGGAAGCAAACUUUAAAAGUUUUUUUUGGAAUAAUAGGGAAAUAAAAAUUUAUGACAGAAGUUGAUGGAAAAAAGAUGACACAAACAUGGAAACUAAUAUUUUUGGGAGAGAGAGAGAGAAAGACUAGGAAAAAUAUAUAUCAGAAGCAAUAAUCAAAAUGUUUUUAAAAAGAGAAAAGCAUGGUUUUUUAGACAGGAAACACUUCAUGCUUAGAAGCAUUAUUAUAGCUAAAGUUUAAAUUAGAGUUUAUAAACAUCUCCAAACAUCCAAGCUAAAAAAAAAAUAGGUUACCUACAGAUAAACAAAAUUAAGUCUUGCCUGAGACUUCUCCUUCACAUUAUUGAACAACAUGAGGCCCUGCACUUUAAAGUCUACAGCAAUCUUUGGGGAAAUAUUUGUGAUUAAAAUUUGAAUAACAUUUCAAUUUUAUAUUAAUAGGUGAAAAAAAUUCAUUCUCAGAUAUUUGGGGAGGAUAAAUUUAGCAUCCAUUUUACUUCUUGGGAAAAAAUUAUUUAAGACUUAUUGGAGACCUAUUUCAGGCAAUUGAGUGAUGAAUCAAGAUUACAAAGUCAUGAAAGGGAAAUAGGAUAUUGGAUUUUUCUUAAAUGUUACAAUUCUGAACACUGAAAUCAGUAUUGCAAUGAUUAUGAGUCAAAAAGUAAUUCAUGCUACUAUAACUAACUACAAAAUGUAAUGCAGGAGUCAGAAAUAUUUUUGAAAGAAAAAAUGUGAUGCAAAAUAUAAUAAUUGAUAUUAAUCUAAGUCUAAAAUUAUAAGGAACAAAUUCUAAAAAGAAAUUGAGAGUAAAAUUUUACUAAUUUCCCCAAGUUAUUAGUAGAGUUUAAAAAUACCGUUUUUGUCUUUUAAAAUAAUUUCUUAAUUACUAAAAGACAUAUUCAUUUGGGAAAAUAAGCAACAUAAAUAUGUGUAUAAUUUAAGUAGCAGAUUCCCCACUUAUACCCCCUGUCAUGUAAACGAUGUAACCACAAAAAACUAGUGUGGUUUGUAUUUUCAAGAACUAUAAAGAGUUAGGUAGAAUAUAGGAGAAUGUAUAUGUGUGUGUGUGUGUGUGUAUAUAUAUAAUAUAUAUAUAGGGAGAGAAUGAGUAUAAUAUCUGUAUCUUUUGAUAUUGUACCUAUAUAUUACAUAUGAAAUUCAAAAUUGUUUUUAUAAAUAUUUUCUACAAAAUUAUAUAAUAGACAUACUAUUUUACAAUUGGUUUUCUGCACUCAGAAAGCUAUAAUAGACAUUCUUAUUCACUAGAUAUACCUAAGUUUAAGAACAUGUACAUAUUUAAAUAUGUAAUCUUGAUAAUUUAACCAUUUUUUAUAAUAAAUUAUAGAUUGUCUCUAGAUAGAUAUUAUUAAAUUAAUGAUGCAGUAUACACUCUUGAACAUACAUCGUUGUAUACCUAUAGUAUUUUUGGAAGAUAUGCUUCUAGAAGCACAAUAUUUGUUUUAGUGAAUAUGCAUACUUUUUAUCUCAAACAACACCAUUUGGCCCUUUCUCAAGGAAUUCAGCCUUUAACCUAAGCAAAAGCCCUAAGACUGACUCUCAGAACAACAAGAGUACCCCAUCUGGUAAUUUGCUCAUGCUUCCUGAGCAAGGGACUACUAAAGCCACAAGGCAGGCAUCCAGAUGCAUCCUUCCCCAUAUGUAUAUCAUGGCUUGGGAGCUGUUAAUGAAAUUUUGUAUUUACCUAUCUUAGACAGUAAAUAUUUAGUUUUAUUGAGGAAGGCACUGCAAUGGAUAGUAGUGAUCACUUUAGAUCCUUAUUACAAAUAUCCACAAAAUAGAUGAGUAAGAACAACUAUAAUUUGGGGAAAAUGUUUUAAAAAUUAUAAAACAAACAAUAGAAUUAAGAGUAAUCAGGCUGAACCAUGACAGAAAAUAUAUCCUAAGAAAACAGAUGUAAUGUAGGAAAUAAAAUAAUUAAAUGUAUGUCCCUAGAAAGAUUCAACGAUUCAUUACAAACAUAAAGCAAAUGUAUGCUGAUAUGAACCUCAAGCACACGAGAAAAAUAAAAUAUAAAACAACACAGUCAUGAAACAAAAUAAAUAGGGGUGCUGAAAAGUUGAACUGAUACUACUUGAUAUUACUUAAAACUGAAAUAAUAAUGUAGAUUCAGACUGCAAGGGACAAUAACAGCCAGAUAUCAAUCAAUAUAAGUUAUAAUUAACUCUAAAGAAUAUUUAAUGUCUGAUAUGAUUUGACUCUGUGUCCCCACCCAAAUCUCAUCUUCAGUUAUAAUCCCCAUGUGUUAGGGAGGGACCUGGUGGGAGGUGAUUGGAUCAUGGGGGUGGUUUGCCCCAUGCUGUUCUCAUGAUAGUGAGUGAGUUCUCACAAGACCUGAUGGUUUUAUAAGUGGUGGUUUCCCCUGCUCUUCUCUCUCCUGCCACUUUGUGAAGAAGGUGGCUGCUUUCCUUCUUCCAUGACUGUAAGUUUUCUGAGGCCUCCCCAGCCACGUGGAAUUGUGAGUGAAUUAAACCUCUUUCCUUUGUAAAUCACUCAGUCUCAGGGAAGUUCUUUAUAGCAGUAUUAAAAUGAACUAAUACAAUGUCACAAUUAUUAAUUGUCAGUUUUAAAUAAGGAUAGGCAUAACAUGAAAACAGUUUUACUAUCUGGGAAAGAAUUUCCAAAUUGUUUCCAUAAAGCUGAACAAUGAAGAAAAUUAAAAAAGAGGGGACGGGGAUGCAAAUAAUACUGUCUUCGUUGAGGAAGAAAUUACAGAUACUAAUUAAAUUUUUUUAGUCAAUUUUAUUGAGGUAUAAUUAACAUGCAAUAAAGUGUUCCCUUUUAAGUGUAUUUUUUGAGAAUUGAUAAACACCUGUGCAACCACCACCACAAUAAAGAUGUAGAAUAUUUCUUUUACAAAAUAUGUUCAUUUUGUCCCUUUCGAACCUCCACUCAUACAUCUAACUCCAGGAAACCACUGACCUAUUUUCUGUUACUGGAGAUUUGAUACCUUUUCUACAGUUCCCCAUAAAUUGAAUCAUACAGUGUGUGUGCUCUUUUAUGUCUGGCUUCUUUUGACCAGCAUAUGUUUUUGAAAUUCAUCCAUGUUUUUGCAUCUAUCAGUGAUGUGUUUAUAUUUAUUUCUGAAUAAUAAUCCAUUGUAUAGAUAUACCACAAUUUGUUCAUUCCCCUCCUGAUGGGCAUUUGAGUUGAUUCCUGUCUUAGGGCUAUUAUAAUAUUCAAAGCUUCUGUGUAAAGGUGUGAAAGCAUGUGGUCAUUUUCAUAAGAGGAGGACACAGUUUUACCAAUGGCUACAAGUGGUGGAUUAUAGGUAUCCUAUGUAUUUAGCUGUUUUAGAACAUACCAAACUUUCUUCCAAAGUGGUUUCAACAUUUUUAUUCUCACCAGAAAUAUAUGGGAGUCCUGGUUGCUCCACAUUUUCAUCAACACUUAGUAUCAUCAGUAUUUUUAAAUAUAGCCAUUCUAAUGAGGAUUUAGGAUCUACACAUCUGUUACAGUAUGACCAUACACAUCUGUUACAGUAUGGCUCAUUGGCCAUACAUAUAUCAUAUCAUCUUUGGUGAAGUGUUUAAUCCAAUCUUUUGCUCAGUUUAAUUGGGCAGUUUGGUAUUUUUAAGAAUGAAAGAGUUUCUUAUGUAUUUUUAAUUUAAUUUGUUUGUCAACUAAAUUAAUUAUAAAUAUUUUCAUUUUCUUAAGGGCUUCUUUUGUAAAGCAGAACUUUUUUAGUUUAAUGAGGUCUAAAUAUUUUUUCUUUCAUGAUUCAUGAUUUUUCUAUUUUAAGAAAUGUUUGUCUACUCCAACUUUGAAAGAUUUUCUUUGUUUUGAGAAGUGUUUUAUAACCUUCAUCAUUAUAUUUUGUUUUAGAUUACAUUUUAGGUUUUGUAGAGGUAUGAGAGAAUAGUCAAAGUUUAUUUUUCUUCAGUGUGGGUAUCCAAUUUGUUGAAAAAACUAUGUAUCCUAUUGAAUUGUUUGAGCAGAUUUGUUGGUAAUUGAUUGACCAUAUUUGCACGGGUUAUAAACAUAUUGUCUUUCAAUUUAUGAAUAUGGCAUAUCUUUUCAUUUAAUUAGGUCUUUCUUGAUUUCUCUCUGCAGAAUUUUGUAGUUUUCUCUUUUUUUUUGAGACAGAGUCUUGCUCUGUUACCCAGG